ensembl:lncRNA
AUAUAGAAUAUAAUAGUAUAUAUGCAUUAUUUUUUAUGGAUGCACAAAAAGCACGGAAUUAAACUACGGUUCUAAAUUAAUAGUAAAAUCUCACUUUCACUGCACCUUGUGGUUUCUGUUACUCGCUGCCUUUAGGAAUAUUAUUUUACUUGUGUUUACUUUUGACCAUAAUGUUCAAAUUAGAUAUCAGAUCUUACUCGCGCUCUCACUCUGUAUCAUCACAUCUACACCGAGCAUGAGGAGCAACGUGGCCUUGUUACUAAUAAAUCACUUCCGUUAUAAUAAACAACAGAAGUUACACUGAUACAGCAUAUAAUGUCAAUAAAAUUAAAUUAAACUAAACCUUUUAAGCAACUCGCGACAGCAUCACUGUCGUGCUCAUGCUCCACAAACUCUGCUUUAUAAAGUUUAGAAAUCUUCUCCGCGGUGUUUAAUAUAAAAUGCUCCACUGCCUUAGAGGACUUUCUUCCUCACUCAAUCGAUGAUUUCGCCUCCGUCUUAUGGUCAUUGAGAGAAAAGAAAGUCAUUGUUGGUGACUCUGGGUAUUAGGCUAAAGCUUCCGGCAUCGCAUUACGUGCGUAUGACGUCAUGCGCUGUCGAGUAGGAAGCAGCUUAUACUUCCAGUUAGAAAAAAAAUCGCUAGUGUUCUAUUUGAGUUUAUAUUGCCCUUCUAAAAUUAAUACAGUAGACGGCAUAGUACCCACUGCAUAGUUUUUUUUUUGGAAGAUAAAUUUAGGACUAAUUGUGAUGUGACGAGUUGAAAUAAGAAGGUGAUGUGAAACAGGUGAGGCAAUCAUCUUAUCAUAGUAUAUAAGGAGCCUCCAAAAAAAGGCCUAGUCUUUUAAAAGCAAGGAUGGGUCGGGGUUCGCCAAUCUGCCAACAGAUGCAUCAGAGAAUAAUCCAACACUUUGAGAACAACAUUCCCCAAAGACAAAAUCAAUAGGAUUUUGGGCAUUUCAUCUUCUACAGUACACAAUAUAAUUUAAAAAAUUCAAGAAAUCCGGUCAAAUCUCGGUGGGUAAAGGGCAAGGCCGAAAAUCACUUCUGAAUGUGUGUGAUCUCAAAUUUGUCUCCCUCAGACGUCACUGUCUUAAAAACCAUCAUGAGUCUAUAAUAGAUAUCCUGACAUGGGCUCGGGUAUAGUUUUGUAAACCUUUUUCAGUCGACACCAUUCACCGCUGCAUCCACAAAUGCAAGUUAAGGCUUUACUAUGCAAACAGAAACUGUACAUCAACACUGUCC